rnacentral:rRNA from 1 species
UACGGAGGGUGCAAGCGUUAUCCGGAUUCACUGGGUUUAAAGGGUGCGUAGGUGGACUUGUAAGUCAGUGGUGAAAGCCCGGAGCUCAACUCCGGAACUGCCAUUGAUACUGCAGGUCUUGAGUACACUUGAGGUGGGCGGAAUACAUCAUGUAGUGGUGAAAUACUUAGAUAUGAUGUAGAACACCGAUUGCGAAGGCAGCUCACUAAAUUGUAACUGACUCUGAGGCACGAAAGCGUGGGGAUCAAACAGG